GGGACGGCACAGGGUUUUCACCGUUUCCACUGUCUUAGGCCUGGCCGAAGGCGAACGGUGUCAGACUAGGCCACGUCUC
rnacentral:sRNA from 12 species